rnacentral:rRNA from 1 species
UGACCUACCCAUGUCCAGGCUGAAGUGGAGGUAAAACUCCAUGGAGGGCCGAACCGACCUCCGUUGAAAAGGCGGCGGAUGAGAUGUGGCUAGCGGAGAAAUUCCAAUCGAACCCGGAGAUAGCUGGUUCUCCCCGAAAUAGCUUUAGGGCUAGCGUCGAGGUAGAGAGUUGCGUGAAGGUAGAGCACUGAAUAUGUGAUGGCCCCAUCUCGGGGUACUGAGCAUAAUCAAACUGCGAAUGUCACGGAAACAUACUCGGCAGUCAGACAGCGGGUGAUAAGGUCCGUUGUCAAGAGGGAAACAGCCCAGACCAUCAGCUAAGGUCCCAAAAUGUAUGCUAAGUGGAAAAGGAUGUGGAGAUGUACAGACAACUAGGAGGUUGGCUCAGAAGCAGCCAUCCUUUAAAGAGUGCGUAACAGCUCACUAGUCGAAUGACUCUGCGCCGAUAAUUUACCGGGGCUAAGCAUACUACCGAAGCUAUGGAUCCCAAGGGAUGGUAGGGGAGCGUUCCAUGAACGGAGAAGCGUGAUCGAGAGGACGCGUGGAGAUCAUGGAAGAGAGAAUGCCGGUGUGAGUAGCGGAACGUGGGUGAGAAUCCCACGCACCGAAAACCCAAGGUUUCCAGAGGAAGGUUCGUCCGCUCUGGGUAAGUCGGGACCUAAGGCGAGGCCGAAAGGCGUAGUCGAUGGACAACAGGUAGAGAUUCCUGUACCCGUAUAUAUGUGAAGGAAUGACGGAGAGAGGAAGCUGCAGCCAGCGGCUGGAAGAGCUGGUGCAAGCGAGAUAUCGGGAUGGCAGGCAAAUCCACCAUCCGAAACGAGAAGGCGUGAAGCGUACGGAAAGCUAAGGCGAGUACGGAAGGCAGUGGAGGAACUUCCAAGAAAAGUUUCUAACGUUAAGUAUAUAUGGCCCGUACCGAAAAUGGACACACAUGGGUGAGGAGAGAAUCCUAAGGUGAGCGAGAGAACUAUAGCUAAGGAACUCUGCAAAAUGACUCCGUAACUUAGGGAGAAGGAGUGCUCAUAGAGAUAUGAGCCGCAGUGAAACGGCCCAAGCGACUGUUUAGCAAAAACACAGCUCUCUGCUAAAUCGAAAGAUGACGUAUAGGGGGUGACACCUGCCCGGUGCUGGAAGGUUAAGAGGAAGGGUGCAAGCUCUGAAUUGAAGCCCCAGUAAACGGCGGCCGUAACUAUAACGGUCCUAAGGUAGCGAAAUUCCUUGUCGGGUAAGUUCCGACCCGCACGAAUGGUGUAACGAUCUGGGCACUGUCUCAACUACCCACCCGGCGAAAUUGUAGUACCGGUGAAGAUGCCGGUUACCUGCGGCAAGACGGAAAGACCCCAUGGAGCUUUACUGUAGCCUGAUAUUGGGUUUCGGAAAUCUAUGUACAGGAUAGGCGGGAGACUAGGAAACAUGAGCGUCAGCUUGUGUGGAGUCGAUGUUGGGAUACCGCCCUUAGGUUUCUGGAAUUCUAACCUGCGGCCGUGAAUCCGGUCGGGGGACAUUGUCAGGUGGGCAGUUUGACUGGGGCGGUCGCCUCCGAAAAGGUAACGGAGGCGCUCAAAGGUUAGCUCAGCACGGACGGAAACCGUGCCUCUGAGUGUAAACGCAAAAGCUAGCCUAACUGCGAGGGUGACGGCCCGAGCAGUAACGAAAGUUGGAGUUAGUGAUCCGGCGGUAUGUGAAUGGAAAUGCCGUCGCUCAACGGAUAAAAGCUACCCUGGGGAUAACAGGCUGAUCUCCCCCAAGAGUCCACAUCGACGGGGAGGUUUGGCACCUCGAUGUCGGCUCAUCGCAUCCUGGGGCUGUAUUCGGUCCCAAGGGUUUGGCUGUUCGCCAAUUAAAGCGGUACGCGAGCUGGGUUCAGAACGUCGUGAGACAGUUCGGUCCCUAUCUGUCGUGGGCGUAGGAUAUUUGAAGAGCGCUGUCCCUAGUACGAGAGGACCGGGAUGGACGCACCGCUGGCGCAUCGGUUGUCAUGCCAAUGGCACGGCCGAGCAACUAUGUGCGGUUUGGAUAAACGCUGAAAGCAUCUAAGCGUGAAGCCAUCUCUAAGAUAAGAUAUCCCAUAGCAUAAGCUAGUAAGACCCCUCAAAGACUAUGAGGUUGAUAGGCUGCGUGUGUAAGUACGGCGACGUAUUUAGCUUGGCAGUACUAAUAGGUCGAGGGCUUGACCU